GCCGAUGUAGCACAGUGGUAGUGCAGCUGAUUCGUAAUCAGCAGGUCAGGGGUUCAAAUCCCCUCAUCGGCU
rnacentral:tRNA from 1 species